GACGAACGCUGGCGGCGUGCCUAAUACAUGCAAGUCGAACGAGAGCGACCGGUGCUUGCACUGGUCAAUCUAGUGGCGAACGGGUGAGUAACACGUGGGUAACCUGCCCAUCAGAGGGGGAUAACAUCCGGAAACGGAUGCUAAAACCGCAUAGGUCUUCGAACCGCAUGGUUUGAAGAGGAAAAGAGGCGCAAGCUUCUGCUGAUGGAUGGACCCGCGGUGCAUUAGCUAGUUGGUGAGGUAACGGCUCACCAAGGCCGUGAUGCAUAGCCGACCUGAGAGGGUGAUCGGCCACAUUGGGACUGAGACACGGCCCAGACUCCUACGGGAGGCAGCAGUAGGGAAUAUUCCGCAAUGGACGCAAGUCUGACGGAGCAACGCCGCGUGAGUGAAGAAGGUUUUCGGAUCGUAAAACUCUGUUGUUAGAGAAGAACAAGUGCUAGAGUAACUGUUAGCGCCUUGACGGUAUCUAACCAGAAAGCCACGGCUAACUACGUG
rnacentral:rRNA from 1 species